rnacentral:rRNA from 1 species
GAUGAACGCUGACAGAAUGCUUAACACAUGCAAGUCGAUGGGGAAGUGGUGCUUGCACCCUGGCAACCAUGGCGGACGGGUGAGUAACGCGUAAGGGACUUACCUGCAGGACUGGGAUAACAGGGGGAAACUCCUGACAAGACCGGAUAAUGUCAUGGAGCUGCCUGGCUUUAUGAUGAAAGGAGACGCCUGCGGAGAGCCUUGCGUCCUAUUAGCUAGUUGGUGAGGUAAUGGCUCACCAAGGCGAAGAUAGGGAGCCGGCCUGAGAGGGUGGACGGCCACAAGGGGACUGAGAUACGGCCCUUACUCCUACGGGAGGCAGCAGUGGGGAAUAUUGGACAAUGGGGGCAACCCUGAUCCAGCAAUUCUGUGUGCACGAAGAAGGUUUUCGGAUUGUAAAGUGCUUUCAGCAGGGAAGAAGUAAGUGACGGUACCUGCAGAAGAAGCGACGGCUAAAUACGUG